UACGUAGGGUGCGAGCGUUAAUCGGAAUUACUGGGCGUAAAGGGCGCGUAGGCGGCUUUCUAAGUCAGGGGUGAAAUCCGGCAGCUCAACUGUCGCAGUGCCUUUGAUACUGGAGAGCUCGAGGGAGGUAGGGGUCUGUGGAACUUCCGGUGGAGCGGUGAAAUGCGUUGAUAUCGGAAGGAACGCCGGUGGCGAAAGCGACGGACUGGAUCUCUUCUGACGCUGAGGCGCGAAAGCCAGGGGAGCAAACGGG
rnacentral:rRNA from 1 species